GAGUUUGAUCGUGGCUCAGAACGAACGCUGGCGGCAGGCCUAACACAUGCAAGUCGAACGCCCGUAGCAAUACGGGAGUGGCAGACGGGUGAGUAACACGUGGGAACGUACCCUUUGGUUCGGAACAACUCCGGGAAACUGGAGCUAAUACCGGAUAAGCCCUACGGGGGAAAGAUUUAUCGCCGAAGGAUCGGCCCGCGUCGGAUUAGCUAGUUGGUGGGGUAAAAGCUCACCAAGGCGACGAUCCGUAGCUGGUCUGAGAGGAUGACCAGCCACACUGGGACUGAGACACGG
rnacentral:rRNA from 1 species